UACGUAGGGGGCAAGCGUUGUCCGGAAUCAUUGGGCGUAAAGCGCGCGUAGGCGGCCCGGUAAGUCCGUUGUGAAAGUCAAAGGCUCAACCUUUGAAUGCCGAUGGAUACUGCCGGGCUAGAGUCCGGAAGAGGCGAGUGGAAUUCCUGGUGUAGCGGUGGAAUGCGCAGAUAUCAGGAGGAACACCGAUAGCGAAGGCAGCUCGCUGGGACGGUACUGACGCUGAGGAGCGAAAGCAUGGGGAGCGAACAGG
rnacentral:rRNA from 1 species